AAAGCAUAGAUUAAAUCGUACUAUACCAUACGAUACUGUUCAUCGCAUUCAAGAAGCGUGACCCGUAGCCAGAAAAAAACCUCUGGGUGUGCAUCAUAAAAACUGUGUGUGUCACAGGCAAGAAAACCAGAAACGCUGAGGAAUUCAGGUGCUGUAAAUCCGGUGGACAGGACUCAUCUCGUUAUAGAUCAAGAUAAUUUAUAACAGAUAGUUGACAUGGUGUGCCACUGUGGGUGGCUCCCGCACACCCGUGGCUACGCCCCUGCCGUGACCCAAAUCUCGUUCGCACAUCAUCGCGAUGUUUAUCAUCUAUUUACAAACGUAGCCAGUCGCCACAUCUUUUUUCUUCACAUACAUCUCAUACUCCAUCUACACACUCCACAACAUUUAAACCAAUGGCUUUUUUAAGAGCCAUCACUUGCAAAAGCUCUCCUACUCAGGCACGCACUCACUCUCCAACUCACACACAUUGUACCUGGAUCCAGAACACGCCAUAGUGCUUGCUACAAAGAAAUUGGCAGUGCCUCCAAAAAGAGGCAUUAUUAGCCUAUCCCCUGUAUGUCAUUGAUGCACUACUUCAAAGAUGUGAGGAAAAGAACAUACACCUGCGAGUAGUCUGUUUGUUACUUUGCCUGUGUUAUUGCCUCACAUUUGCAGAAAUCAGGUGAGGGCAUAUCACACAACAUUGCCUUGGCCGUACCAGCAUUUCAUGUUUAUGGACACAAAUUGCCCUGCCAGAUCAAGUACAGUACCAGAUGGCUUGAUGGGUUUGGGCUCACAGACGGGGAAGGAAUGGAAAGGCUUUGGUCUUUCCUCCAAAGAUUUGCCAGAGUUACAAAGGAGAUGACUCCAUCUCAUCGCCUUGACCUACUGACUGAUGCCCUUUUGCAUUAUGGACGGUGGAAAUCAACUGACCUAGAGGUGCAGCUACUGCAAAGAGUAGACAAAGCAGAGAAAAUAUUGAUUCUCGCUCCUCAAGAAGAUAUCUCAUGUCAUCAGAGAGGCACCAGUGUUGAUUUCUGAAGGAGACAUGGAGAGAUGGAAGAAGCUAGCCCAACAGAAACCAAUAAGGAAGGAACUGAAGUUAAAGUCUUAAAUACUACACUGUCUGUAGAUGGAAAAGGGACUACAUCAUCAGACUGAUUCAGUUCUACAAGUUCAAAAUUGAGGACUCUGCUGAACAUUGAGGAAAAAAUACAGAAUCUGGAGAAGAUGGCAAGAGUCUGAUUCAAACUUCCAGUCUACCCUUAAAGAUGUGGCUAGAACUGAAUCAAGGGAGAGAGCAGUCGUCCUCCACCUGAGAAGAAUAUAUCCAGCUUUGCUUCAGAUGGGCAGGGCAUUGCCAUUAGACUCUCCAAGCAGGUAGCCAAUUGAUUUUCAGGAAUCAUGUGAUCCCUCUUGGCAUGUCUACUUCUGCUUUAAUGACACUAUUGAAGAAGAUGAUGUUUCGAGGAGUCUAAAAAGGCGAGGGAUUGAUGCCUUACAUAUGAAGACUCGGGCAGCUGAGGAAAAGUGCCUGCUUUACAAGGAAAUGAGAAGUCUAAGGGGCCAGUCACACCAAAAGCGUUUAUGGCAGUUGCAGGCGCCUUUUUUGAAUGAUAUUCUAUGGGCAGGGUGCGUUUGCGCGCCGAGCGCCUUGCGGGUUUUGCCGCCUGCCGCGCACGCGUUUUUGAAGGAGCGCUGAGAGCGGAGAAGCGCCCGACGUCAUUCGGGUCUUUCCAUUGUCCAAUCGAAUGAGGGGAGAGGCGGGCCUUACGUUGUGGUGAGUGAAGUUUACAGUUGCUUUGAAGAACCGGACUCCACUCGCUCACUCUCUCCUGCGUGUUUCUGCACCUCUCACCCUCAAACAAGGUCAGAGCAAGCGCCCUCUUUUUAAAGUUUCUGCUAAUAUGACAGUUAACAGCAAAAGAGCGCUCACGCUUCAAUAUUUGAUUGACAAGACAGCUGACUCGGUGGUUGCUUAGCAAUAUGAAAAGCCGCGUCGCACUGCUCUUUUUUUAAAAAGGCAUUGCGUCGCGCCUUGCGUUUGCAAGCGUUUAUAGCGCUUUUGGUGUGACUGGCCCCUAACUGAACACCCCAUCAGGAGCAGGCCUCUAACAUCUGUGCUCUAACAUCGAAGACACUGAGCAGCCUGGUGCAAAAGCUGCUCUCAUUCAACACCUCCAACACCUGGAAAGAAAACUACAUCAAGCCAUUGUGCUGUUUCACCCACAUCUAUCGGACAUUGUUCCUGCAGACAACCCCCACUUGUGUCAGGCCCUCCCCAUGCCAAGCAUACAGACACUGGUAUACAAUGAUAAGAGUGAUAAUGAUGAAAAUGUGGAUAAAUAUGAUAACUAGCACUACAGAUUUUUUGUUAAUUUUUAGUCUGAUAUUGUAUUCUGUAAAAAGAAAGAUGUAAAAUGUAUAGUAUAUGUUGCAGCAUAUCAUAGAAACCUUUAUGGUGGUGUAAUAUAAUGUUCGCCUUACUUGUGCAAACAUGAUGUUUUACUAGAUCUGAUUUAUUAUUAAACGUAGGUACUGUUUUUAAGCACACAUAUUCGCAAUAGUCUGUGUGAGGACAAAAUUGUGUGUUUACCAUUGUGAUGUUACUUAUUUACUGUAAUGUACAAAUGUGGUCAAUGUGUGUAAGGUGUUUUGUUUUUGUGAGCUAAGUUAAAAUGACAAAGUAUUGAAUCUUGAAUCCUUUGAAACAAAUACUGUAAAAGUUUGUAAAAAAUAAAAUGUUUUCCACAGUGA